UCUUUUAAUACAACUUUCAACAACGGAUCCCUUGGUUCUCGCAUCGAUGAAGAACGCAGCCGAAAUGCGAUACGUAAUGUGAAUUGCAGAAUUCAGUGAAUCAUCGAAUCUUUGAACGCACAUUGCACUCUAUGGUAUUCCGUAGAGUAUGCCUGUUUCAGUAUCAU
rnacentral:rRNA from 1 species